rnacentral:rRNA from 1 species
AAGGGCUUCGGCCUGAGUACAGCGGCGGACGGGUGAGAAACGCGUGGGAAUCUACCCUUAAGUGAAGGAUACCCUCGAGAAAUCGAGGUUAAUACUGCAUACGUCUAGAAAUAGAGAAAGGUGGCUUAAAUGCUAUCGCUGAAGGAGGAGCCUGCGUACUAUUAGCUAGUUGGUAGGGUAAAGGCCUACCAAGGCGAUGAUGGUUAGCCGGCCCGAGAGGGUGUACGGCCACACUGGAACUGAGACACGGUCCAGACUCCUACGGGAGGCAGCAGUGAGGAAUAUUGCGCAAUGGGCGAAAGCCUGACGCAGCGACGCCGCGUGGAGGAUGAAGGUCUUCGGA